AACGAACGCUGGCGGCAUGCCUAAAACAUGCAAGUCGAACGAACCUUCGGGGCCCGUGGGCCCCCGGGGGUGUAAGCGGGGGGAUCCGUCCCUAGGGUUGGAACUACCUCCCAGAAUGGGGUGCUAUCACGGGACAAGUUCUCCGACCAAAAGAUUUAUCGCCUUUGAUUGGGCCCUGGUGGGAUUAGCUUGUUGUAAGGGUAAAAGCUUACCACGGCGAGGAUCAAUAGCUGGUUUGGGAGGAUGAUCAGCAACACUGGGACUGAGACCCGGCCCAGACUCCUACGGGAGGCAGCAGUGGGGAAUAUUGGACAAUGGGCGAAAGCCUGAUCCAGCAAUGCCGCGUGAGUGAUGAAGGCCUUAGGGUUGUAAAGCUCUUUUACCCGGGAUGAUAAUGACAGUACCGGGAGAAUAAGCUCCGGCUAACUCCGUG
rnacentral:rRNA from 1 species